UACGAAGGGUGCAAACGUUGCUCGGAAUUAUUGGGCGUAAAGCGCACGUAGGCGGUAUUGCAAGUCGGAUGUGAAAUCCCUCGGCUCAACCAAGGAAGUGCAUCCGAAACUGCCGUACUUGAGUACGAAAGAGGAUCGCGGAAUUCCCGGUGUAGAGGUGAAAUUCGUAGAUAUCGGGAGGAACACCAGUGGCGAAGGCGGCGAUCUGGGUCGAUACUGACGCUGAGGUGCGAAAGCGUGGGGAGCAAACAGG
rnacentral:rRNA from 1 species